AGCGGGGUAGAGAAGAGGCAUCUCGCAAGGCUCAUAACCUUGAGACUCUGGUUCGAUUCCAGACCCCGCAACAA
rnacentral:tRNA from 6 species